rnacentral:rRNA from 1 species
CAAUAGCGUAUAUUAAAGUUGUUGCAGUUAAAAAGCUCGUAGUUGGAUUUCUGGUGGGAGCGAUCGGUCUGGCGCUUAGCGCGAGUACUUGCAUCGUCUCCGGCCAUCCUUGGGGAGUGUCUGUCUGGCAUUAGGUUGUCGGGCAGAGGGUCCUCAUCGUUUACUGUGAAAAAAUUAGAGUGUUCAAAGCAGGCUUAUGCCGUUGAAUAUAUUAGCAUGGAAUAAUAAGAUAGGACUUUGGUACUAUUUUGUUGGUUUGCGCACCAAAGUAAUGAUUAAUAGGGACAGUUGGGGGUAUUCGUAUUCCGUUGUCAGAGGUGAAAUUCUUGGAUUUACGGAAGACGAACUACUGCGAAAGCAUUUACCAAGGAUGUUUUCAUUAA